GAUGAACGCUGGCGGCGUGCCUAAUACAUGCCAGUCGAGCGAACAGAUAAGGAGCUUGCUCCUUUGACGUUAGCGGCGGACGGGUGAGUAACACGUGGGUAACCUAUCUAUAAGACUGGAAUAACUCCGGGAAACCGGGGCUAAUGCCGGAUAACAUGUUGAACCGCAUGGUUCUACAGUGAAAGGCGGCUUUGCUGUCACUUAUAGAUGGACCCGCGCCGUAUUAGCUAGUUGGUGAGGUAACGGCUCACCAAGGCAACGAUACGUAGCCGACCUGAGAGGGUGAUCGGCCACACUGGAACUGAGACACGGUCCAGACUCCUACGGGAGGCAGCAGUAGGGAAUCUUCCGCAAUGGGCGAAAGCCUGACGGAGCAACGCCGCGUGAGUGAUGAAGGUCUUCGGAUCGUAAAACUCUGUUAUUAGGGAAGAACAAAUGCGUAAGUAACUGUGCGCGUCUUGACGGUACCUAAUCAGAAAGCCACGGCUAACUACGUG
rnacentral:rRNA from 1 species